AUCUAAUUAAGGAAUGGCGUUUGCAUUCGUUAGACUUGUCAAUGGUUGUAGAAACUGUUGUUCAAAAUAAUUUCGAAAAGAAGCUUUCACCACUGAUUUUGUCAUUUGCAUUACAUUUUCUUUCGAAAAUUAUUUAAAACCAUUUAAUGUUCUUUCUAAUAUAAUAUUACUCCAUAGGCUAACUGUAGAAAGUAUGUGCGUUGAUUCAAUUAACAGAUAAACGUUGUUUCGGUGUCAGACUUAGUUAAAUAUCAAAAUGAAGUUGGUCGUCGUGUUGCUCUGCCUGAUACCGUUCGUGUUCAGUGCCAGCGUCAACGAGAGAUUCAUUGUGCCUUUGCAAAGGGGAUACGACAUCUUAGCCAUCGCUAAGCAUCUUUUUCCCAGUUCGGAACUGAUGAGACCGAACAACAGUGUUAGACCCAGCUUUGCCCAACUCUCCUGGACAAAUUUGAUGAAAACAUUUCGCUUAUCAACCACAUUGUCUGCGCCGAAGUUUGCAACGAGGUCCAAUUCCUUACCGGCCACUUCGCACCGGGCAAAUAAGCCGCACUCUAAAAUUAUGAUGCAUUGUUAAACAACUCAAAUACAUUAAUGGUUUGAUAAUACAGUAUUGCUUUUAUACUGAUUCAAAUUUAAUUUAAAUAUUCGAUACUUAUGUGUACCCGAAAAAUAUAUACAUCAAGUUCAUACAAUUAUAUGUAUUUUAUGAGUACACAUUUAUAUAUGGCUAGUUACACAGCGUUCGUAACAAAGAUAUACACCGGGGAUGAACAACUUUUGUCACGUGACCACAAAAGUCAACGCAGGUUGUUGAAUUGCAUCAGGCAUCCCGCUCCGUCAGAAUGACACGAAAAACGUCUCACCCAGAGCGGAUCAAACGAAGAACUGGAUGCAUCAAACUUCUGAAUUCCUACCGCCAACAACCUCAACUUUUCGAACAGCAAUGAAACGAAAAUUUACACCAAUGAAGUCCCCAAUUCAGCAACCUUUUCGAUCCCCUUUGUAUAAAGCAAAAAGAAACUCGCACCAACAAUUAUUUUCAGACAGUGAUACUCGCGAUACUAACUGGGUUAUUGAUAUGAACUCUCAAAUACAAAGUGACAACGCGCCAAAUCCAAUGAACGAUAUUUUGACAAAGAAGAGAUCAACAAAAAGUGCAGUUUCACAGAUACAUACAGUAAUAAAGAAAACGUCGCAUAUCCCUGCAAUACAGAGAAGCGUGAGACAAAAACAAAUGCAACACAAACACAAAAUGUUACCGUUUAAAAUCGCACACAAACGGAAAAUGAUUAUGAAUCAAACAGACUUACCAACCCUAAUGUAGCAAAUACCAUCGCAAAAGAAUAAAAGGAAAUGGUGGACGUUGUUGUUGAAAAGUUAUCCUUACCUUAACUUUCUUCAAACUGAUUAUGAUGGAUAUAUUUCCACUUUAUAAUAUUACUUUACUUUUGUGGGGAUUUGAAACAACAACAGACAUAUUUGAUCUAACUUUAUAUUGUUUGCUGUUAUUUGUUUCAAGUUUUAAAAUUACAGUUUCUAAAAUAAUGCCAUGUAUCUUGUAUCUUGUAAAUAAAAAAAAAGUAUGUUUCUUUUA